UAUAUUUUAUUUAAGCAUUCUGGUAAUCUUUUUUCCCUGCUUAAAGCGAACGGAGGACAGUGUAAGCUCCGUAGCAUAAAAAAGAUUUGGGAACAGAAGUCAGAAAUGAAAUCAACCUUAUAUUGAGUUCCAAAAAAGUGGCAGGAUAAUGCCUGCAACUAGGGUGGAACCGUCCUUGAAUAAAAGGACCCCUAGA
rnacentral:misc_RNA from 1 species